GGCCGCGUGGCCUAAUGGCUAAGGCGCUAGAUUUCGGUUCACCGAUUUCACCCUCUCUAGAGAUUCCAGGUUCGAAUCCUGGCGUGGUCG